GGUGAGUAGGUGACUCAAAGAGAGAGAAAGAGUUGUGCAGUUUUGAACAAAUUGAUUUCUUCCAAAAUGAAUGAGAAGCAAGAGAGCGAUGGAGAGAAAGAUUGUCAUUUAUUUUCAGUUUCACUUACUUAGCUAGCAAAUGCAGCUAGCUAGUUUAGCCUACUCAAACACCCUGCUCAAACAGAGGGAUGCUAUAUUAGCUUGCUGGCUAUGGCUAUCCAACACAACACUCUUCCAAGUCAAGGAACAUUGCUUGAUUCUUCUCCCCAGGACCUUGGGGGACUUUUGGUGUGGAUGAUGUUAAGGGCCUACCAAAGCAAGGUUUCUCAAACAACUGUGGGGUGUUUGUUUUGAUGUAUGCUCUGUACACUCCAAUGGAAGCACAGUGUGAUUUCACUGAGGAAAACAUGCAGCAAAUUAGGCGAUGGUGGUGCCUAGUUCUCCUGCAGAACUUUCCCAUGCAAUCUGAAGAAGAGAGGUUGAAAGAUCAAAAAAGGCGGUGAAAACAAAACACACUACAGACGAUACUGAAAACAAAAUGCAUGGCGAACUGGGAGCUGUGAACUGGGAUACAGAUGUUCUUCUAAGGGAUACCAUAGAGACAGCAAGGUGAUGCGAACAGCAAACAUUUAAAGGCACUGUUUCUCUCCCUGGUGUAAUUGGGAUGGAUGAAUGGCCGCAUUAACCCUUAAAGAACUACAGUUGUAUGAUGGCCUGGAUGAAGAGGAAAAUAUUCUCCUCAAGAAACCAUUCAUGUUACAGAGAGAUGAGAUGUUCUAUGUGACAAGAAGAACAUGACUGUCUUUGUCUCUUUUGAGGAGCAGGAGUGAAGCCAUUUUUGAGGAGUGAUCAAACCUUGUUUUUGUCUGCUAUCUUAAUUGUUAAUUGUGUUAUGUUUAGUAAAGAUGCUGUAGAAGUCA